AACGAACGCUGGCGGCAUGCCUAACACAUGCAAGUCGAACGAGACCUUCGGGUCUAGUGGCGCACGGGUGCGUAACGCGUGGGAAUCUGCCCUUGGGUUCGGAAUAACAGUGAGAAAUUACUGCUAAUACCGGAUGAUGACUUCGGUCCAAAGAUUUAUCGCCCAAGGAUGAGCCCGCGUAGGAUUAGGUAGUUGGUGGGGUAAUGGCCUACCAAGCCGACGAUCCUUAGCUGGUCUGAGAGGAUGAUCAGCCACACUGGGACUGGGACACGGCCCAGACUCCUACGGGAGGCAGCAGUGGGGAAUAUUGGACAAUGGGCGAAAGCCUGAUCCAGCAAUGCCGCGUGAGUGAUGAAGGCCUUAGGGCUGUAAAGCUCUUUUACCAGGGAUGAUAAUGACAGUACCUGGAGAAUAAGCUCCGGCUAACUCCGUGCCAGCCGCCGCAGUAACAC
rnacentral:rRNA from 1 species